ensembl:snoRNA
UUUAGGAGCCAAUGAUGUUUUUAUCUAAAAUGUCUGAACCUGUCUGAAGCAUCCCAGUGAUGCAACCUGGUACUGAGGCUUCUCUUCUU